GCAUAGAAUGGGGCUAUUGCAGGGGAAAGCUGUAGGAGAGUAGGCAGAAAUCACUCCUGGAGGGGAGGUAGUUGGAGGCUGGCAAACCCAAGAGGGUGGGAGCCAGUGAUGUAGGAAGAACCCAGGGAAACAGAGACAAAGGGUAGGACUGCACAGGGAAAGUGGCUGCUUGUUAUAGGGAGCAGGUCUGGGUUCCCCUACUAGCCAUUGGAGAGUGGCAAAGGGUGUUAGAGAUGCCAACCAGCAGGUCUGGAAAGACUGUGAAUUCCUUGGCCAGAAAGCCAAGCUACAGAAAGGAAGCUGCAGAGCUGGGAGUGAGCGUGACAGCAGAGUGAGAGAAGACAACACCAGAGGGCGAGCACAAGCUGGCAGAACUAAUCUCCAAGAUGGUCAGCAGGUGGUGCUGCUCAUGAAAGUAAAGCUGUGUCUUUGGAUGAAGUGAAUGUCUGUAAAAUGGAAAAGAAGCCUAUGAGAGAACUGCAUUCAGCUACACUAUGAGGAAUGACCAUAAAUUCUUAAAAAGAAGUCUGAGGUCACUGCCCCAGCAUGAAACAACACAUACAUUAACAAACACUGAACCAUCAUUUUGGCCCAGACCUUCACAAUUUACAUUCAUGGGCAUUGGGAG